rnacentral:lncRNA from 1 species
CUGGAAAUAACAUGUCUUUGGACAAUAACAACGAUGAUGCUGACAACUUGAUCUGUUGAUAACAUUAUGAGCGCUAAAAAUUUGCUGUGUUAAAAAAAUGCAAUCUAGACACAUACAUUUUACAAAAGUUAUUUUCAUAUCUUAUUUUAGGCAUCACAUGACCAAGUGAUCUCAUUAGAAUGUAUUGUAAGAAGAACAAUAAUUAUGUU